rnacentral:rRNA from 1 species
GACAGAGGAGCCAAGCGUUGUCCGGAUUGACUGGGCGUAAAGCGCACGCAGGCGGUUGCGCGCGUGGGGUGUGAAAGCUGGUGGCUUAACUGCCGGAUGCCAUCCCAUACGGCGCGACUCGAGCCCGUGAGAGGUCCACGGAAUUGCCGGUGUAGUGGUGAAAUGCGUAGAGAUCGGCAGGAACACCCAGGGGGAAACCAGUGGACUGGCACGGUGCUGACGCUCAGGUGCGAAAGCGUGGGGAGCGAACCGG